rnacentral:rRNA from 1 species
AACGGCGUAGUGAAGCGGCAAAAGCUCAAAUUUGAAAUCUGGCUCCUUCGGGGCCCGAGUUGUAAUUUGCAGAGGAUGCUUCGGGGGCGGUUGCGGUCUAAGUCCCCUGGAACGGGGCGUCGUAGAGGGUGAGAAUCCCGUCUUCGGCCGGUCAACCGCGCCCGUGUGAAGCUCCUUCGACGAGUCGAGUUGUUUGGGAAUGCAGCUCUAAAUGGGUGGUAAAUUUCAUCUAAAGCUAAAUAUUGGUGGGAGACCGAUAGCGCACAAGUAGAGUGAUCGAAAGAUGAAAAGCACUUUGAAAAGAGAGUUAAACAGCAUGUGAAAUUGUUGAAAGGGAAGCGCUUGCAGCCAGACUCGGCCGCGGAGGCUCAGCGGGCAUUCUUGCCCGUGCACUCCCCCGCGGUCGGGCCAGCAUCAGUUUAGGCGGUCGGUCAAAGGCCCCCGGAAUGUGUCGCCUUCGGGCGUCUUAUAGCCGGGGGUACAAUGCGGCCAGCCCGGACUGAGGAACGCGCUUCGGCACGGAUGCUGGCAUAAUGGCUGUAAGCGACCCGUCUUGAAACACGGACCAAGGAGUCUAACAUCCACGCGAGUGUUCGGGUGUCAAACCCGUACGCGCAGUGAAAGCGAACGGAGGUGGGAGCCCUUAAGGGUGCACCAUCGACCGAUCCUGAAGUCUUCGGAUGGAUUUGAGUAAGAGCGUGGCUGUUGGGACCCGAAAGAUGGUGAACUAUGCCUGAAUAGGGGUGAAGCCAGAGGAAACUCUGGUGGAGGCUCGCAGCGGUUUCUGACGUGCAAAUCGAUCGUCAAAUUU